CUUAAGCAUAUCAAUAAGCGGAGGAAAAGAAACCAACAGGGAUUGCCUCAGUAACGGCGAGUGAAGCGGCAACAGCUCAAAUUUGAAAUCUGACCCCUUCGGGGCCCGAGUUGUAAUUUGUAGAGGAUGCUUCGGGUGCGGCGCCGGUCUAAGUUCCUUGGAACAGGACGUCAUAGAGGGUGAGAAUCCCGUAUGCGACCGGCGGUCAACCCCAUGUGAAGCCCCUUCGACGAGUCGAGUUGUUUGGGAAUGCAGCUCAAAAUGGGUGGUAAAUUUCAUCUAAAGCUAAAUACCGGCCAGAGACCGAUAGCGCACAAGUAGAGUGAUCGAAAGAUGAAAAGCACUUUGGAAAGAGAGUCAAACAGUACGUGAAAUUGUUGAAAGGGAAGCGCUUGCAACCAGACCUGCCCCCGGGCGAUCAGCCGUUAUUUUUAGCGGUGCACUCGUCCGCGAUCAGGCCAGCAUCGGUUCGGGCGGCCGGAUAAAGGCCUCGGGAAUGUAGCUCCCCCCGGGGAGUCUUAUAGCCCGAGGUGCAAUGCGGCCAGCCCGGACCGAGGACCGCGCUUCGGCUAGGAUGCUGGCGUAAUGGUUGUAAGCGACCCGUCUUGAAACACGGACC
rnacentral:rRNA from 1 species